GACGAACGCUGGCGGCGUGCUUAACACAUGCAAGUCGAACGGUGAAGGGACCAGCUUGCUGGUUCUGGAUGAGUAGCGAACGGGUGAGUAACACGUGAGUAACCUGCCCCCUUCUUCUGGAUAACCGCAUGAAAGUGUGGCUAAUACGGGAUAUUCUGGGUCUGUCGCAUGGCGGGCCCGGGAAAGAUAUUGCUUCGGUGGGGGAUGGGCUCGCGGCCUAUCAGCUUGUUGGUGGGGUGAUGGCCUACCAAGGCGGUGACGGGUAGCCGGCCUGAGAGGGUGGACGGUCACACUGGGACUGAGACACGGCCCAGACUCCUACGGGAGGCAGCAGUGGGGAAUAUUGCACAAUGGGCGCAAGCCUGAUGCAGCGACGCCGCGUGAGGGAUGGAGGCCUUCGGGUUGUAAACCUCUUUCGCCAGUGAAGCAGGCCUGCUCCUUGUGGGUGGGUUGACGGUAGCUGGAUAAGAAGCGCCGGCUAACUACGUG
rnacentral:rRNA from 1 species